CAGGCUUAACACAUGCAAGUCGAGGGGCAUCAGGAAGAAAGCUUGCUUUCUUUGCUGGCGACCGGCGCACGGGUGAGUAACACGUAUCCAACCUGCCCUUUACUCGGGGAUAGCCUUUCGAAAGAAAGAUUAAUACCCGAUAGCAUAAUGAUUCCGCAUGGUUUCAUUAUUAAAGGAUUCCGGUAAAGGAUGGGGAUGCGUUCCAUUAGGUUGUUGGUGAGGUAACGGCCCACCAAGCCUUCGAUGGAUAGGGGUUCUGAGAGGAAGGUCCCCCACAUUGGAACUGAGACACGGUCCAAACUCCUACGGGAGGCAGCAGUGAGGAAUAUUGGUCAAUGGGCGCUAGCCUGAACCAGCCAAGUAGCGUGAAGGAUAAAGGCUCUAUGGGUCGUAAACUUCUUUUAUAUAAGAAUAAAGUGCAGUAUGUAUACUGUUUUGUAUGUAUUAUAUGAAUAAGGAUCGGCUAACUCCGUGCCAGCAGCCGCGGUAAUACGGAGGAUCCGAGCGUUAUCCGGAUUUAUUGGGUUUAAAGGGAGCGUAGGUGGACUGGUAAGUCAGUUGUGAAAGUUUGCGGCUCAACCGUAAAAUUGCAGUUGAUACUGUCAGUCUUGAGUACAGUAGAGGUGGGCGGAAUUCGUGGUGUAGCGGUGAAAUGCUUAGAUAUCACGAAGAACUCCGAUUGCGAAGGCAGCUCACUGGACUGCAACUGACACUGAUGCUCGAAAGUGUGGGUAUCAAACAGGAUUAGAUACCCUGGUAGUCCACACAGUAAACGAUGAAUACUCGCUGUUUGCGAUAUACAGUAAGCGGCCAAGCGAAAGCAUUAAGUAUUCCACCUGGGGAGUACGCCGGCAACGGUGAAACCCAAAGGAAUUGACGGGGGCCCGCACAAGCGGAGGAACAUGUGGUUUAAUUCGAUGAUACGCGAGGAACCUUACCCGGGCUUAAAUUGCAGUGGAAUGAUGUGGAAACAUGUCAGUGAGCAAUCACCGCUGUGAAGGUGCUGCAUGGUUGUCGUCAGCUCGUGCCGUGAGGUGUCGGCUUAAGUGCCAUAACGAGCGCAACCCUUAUCUUCAGUUACUAACAGGUUAUGCUGAGGACUCUGGAGAGACUGCCGUCGUAAGAUGUGAGGAAGGUGGGGAUGACGUCAAAUCAGCACGGCCCUUACGUCCGGGGCUACACACGUGUUACAAUGGGGGGUACAGAAGGCAGCUACCUGGUGACAGGAUGCUAAUCCCAAAAGCCUCUCUCAGUUCGGAUCGAAGUCUGCAACCCGACUUCGUGAAGCUGGAUUCGCUAGUAAUCGCGCAUCAGCCACGGCGCGGUGAAUACGCUCCCGGGCCUUGUACACACCGCCCGUCAAGCCAUGGGAGCCGGGGGUACCUGAAGUACGUAACCGCAAGGAUCGUCCUAGGGUAAAACUGGUGACUGGGGCUAAGUCAUAACAA
rnacentral:rRNA from 1 species